rnacentral:rRNA from 1 species
CCUACGGGGGGCUGCAGUGAGGAAUAUUGGUCAAUGGACGCAAGUCUGAACCAGCCAUGCCGCGUGCAGGAUGAAGCAUCUAUGGUGUGUAAACUGCUUUUGUACGGGAAGAAACACUCCUACGUGUAGGAGCUUGACGGUACCGUAAGAAUAAGGAUCGGCUAACUCCGUGCCAGCAGCCGCGGUAAUACGGAGGAUCCAAGCGUUAUCCGGAAUCAUUGGGUUUAAGGGGUCCGUAGGCGUCUGUAUAGAAAGCCCAUCGCUUAACGAUGGAACGGCCAUUGAUACUGUAGAGCUUGAAUUACUUGGAAGUAACUAGAAUAUGUAGUGUAGCGGUGAAAUGCUUAGAUAUUACAUGGAAUACCAAUUGCGAAGGCAGGUUACUACAAGUGGAUUGACGCUGAUGGACGAAAGCGUGGGGAGCGAACAGGAUUAGAUACCCGAGUAGUC